UACGUAGGGACCAAGCGUUGUUCGGAUUUACUGGGCGUAAAGGGCGCGUAGGCGGCUUAACAAGUCACUUGUGAAAUCUCCGGGCUUAACUCGGAACGGCCAAGUGAAACUGUCAAGCUAGAGUGCAGAAGGGGCAAUCGGAAUUCUUGGUGUAGCGGUGAAAUGCGUAGAUAUCAAGAGGAACACCUGAGGUGAAGACGGGUUGCUGGGCUGACACUGACGCUGAGGCGCGAAAGCGUGGGGAGCAAACGGG
rnacentral:rRNA from 1 species